rnacentral:lncRNA from 1 species
UUUCAUACUGCUGUUGAUGAUGUGAAUUUUGGAAAUAUUCUCCCCUAUUGGGUCUUUCUCCAUGACAGAUGAUGUCCUUUGGCUUCGGUUUUUUGCCUAAGAACUUGAUUAUCCAGGGACUACAGAUGGGGUCAGCAGCAUGCCCAGUCACCUGCAUUGCCUAAUGAAUGGCUGACUGCCUCAGCAUCCCCUGGGCAGAGGCUGGAGUGCAGUGGUGCACACGCCUCACACUGUGACACAGCGGGAGAGCCCAGAGCGACAGCUGUUGGAAUGACUGCACUCUUCCUGCUCAAGUCUGACCUUUCCAAGGUAGGAUUUGAUUACAACUAGCAAUAUGGAAUUACAAGCAGGGAGAGGUGCCGAGACCACAAGACAUCAGGAGACUAAAAUAGCAAGGUGGUGAGGCAAUCUGCCUUUUAUUCCCCUUUCAAGCUAUGAGAAGUAGGCAAAUGAUGCGGCUGAACAAUGCCUCCUUGACUUCAGGAUAUAAAAACUACUUUCAUGAGCUUCAAGUCAGGCCUUUGUCCUAUGUCUGGAGACUUCUUGGAAGCUGGAGCACACAAAUAGCUACAGCAAACUUGAGGAAUGGGCAUGAAUAGACUGGCUUCGGGGAACCUGCCAGCUUGGCCGUGUGGCCAAGGUAAUAGGCAAGCCAAGGCAGAGCUAGAGCUCAGAGCUGGAGGGGAAAUUAAAGCAGCAAAUGUAGAAACAUUAAGCCUGAAGAGGCGACGACGUUGAAUUCUAAAAUGCAGGCCAAAGCUCAGACUGCAAGCUGUCUGGCUGCUCCGGGUGUGCCCAGAAGUCAAAGUCCAGCAGGGGCAAAGGUGGAGGUGUGGUCCUGCACGUGGGGUGUUGGGGGGAUGUGGAAGAGGAGGUGCUUUAAGAUCCAGAGAUUCCAGCUGCCCUGGUGCACCCUUGGAAGAAUAAAAGGCUAGGAACUGGACAAGUCAGGCUCGAGUCCAAGCUGCCUGAGGAAUCGGGGAAAGAAUGGAGCUCAGAGUGGGAGGUCAGGGCAGUAUUUAAAAAUCCAGGAUAGCAGCAAAGCUGGCGGUGGCCCCUGACUCUGGUAAGGGCAGCCUGCAGCACCAUGCCAAGGGGGGCCUGACUGAUCAUGCCCUGCAUUUGCAAACAAGGAUUAGUAGGGUAUGAGUAGGAUUCUGCUGGUGCCUGGGAAGGCAGUGCCAUCUACAACUUUACAAAGUUUUAACAAAGGCCUGAAGGACACAACCUUCCCCAAAGUCCUGACGUCGCUGUUUGCUGGCAACAAAUAGAGUCAAAAGAAGAGAGGCACAGAAUGUGCCAGGGGUGUGCUGCGUACAGCCCCGAUGACCACAAGGCCUUCUUGGGUCAAGUUCUGCCAUCUCUGGUUAAGAUGGGCUCACCCUCUAGGACCCUGAUUGAGUCCUCGGACCACCAAGAGUGCCCCACCAAGAGCCUCCCUCUUCUGGUGACUCGUGCCUGCUUCCCGUGGAGAGCUCCAGAAGGGAGGAAACUGUGAGGAGGUGGAGAACGUGGCAGGGAUCCUAACUUUCUUACUGAAGGAAGUUCUUCACAAGUACCCAUCUGCCUUCAGGGAAGAAAACAUAACUCAUUUUGGUCUUUCAAAUUCAGUUCUCAAAACCAAAUCCUGUUGUCAGCAAUCUGUGUCCCAACGCCUUCUUCAGCAACAGCAUUUUCCCUGUGGAAUUAGUUUCCAAUGUUCUUUCUUAAAUAAACCACUGAAGAUUAAAAGGAAUCCAGAUACCCACCA